rnacentral:rRNA from 1 species
UACGGAGGGGGCGAGCGUUGUCCGAAGUUACUGGGCGUAAAGCGCGCGUAGGCGGGUUGGUAAGUCCGCUGUGAAAGCCCGGAGCUCAACUCCGGAGGGUCGGUGGAUACUGCCAGUCUUGAAGGUGCUAGGGGGAGAUGGAAUUACCGGUGUAGCGGUGAAAUGCGUAGAUAUCGUCAGGAAUGCCGGUGGUGAAGACGGGUGACUGGGCUGGUUCUGACACUGAGGCACGAAAGCGUGGGGAGCGAACGGG